AUUGAACGCUGGCGGCAGGCCUAACACAUGCAAGUCGAGCGGAUGAAGGGAGCUUGCUCCUGGAUUCAGCGGCGGACGGGUGAGUAAUGCCUAGGAAUCUGCCUUGUAGUGGGGGAUAACGUCCGGAAACGGGCGCUAAUACCGCAUACGUCCUGAGGGAGAAAGUGGGGGAUCUUCGGACCUCACGCUAUCAGAUGAGCCUAGGUCGGAUUAGCUAGUUUGUGGGGUAAAGGCCUACCAAGGCGACGAUCCGUAACUGGUCUGAGAGGAUGAUCAGUCACACUGGAACUGAGACACGGUCCAGACUCCUACGGGAGGCAGCAGUGGGGAAUAUUGGACAAUGGGCGAAAGCCUGAUCCAGCAAUGCCGCGUGUGUGAAGAAGGUCUUCGGAUUGUAAAGCACUUUAAGUUGGGAGGAAGGGAAGUAAGUUAAUACCUUGCUGUUUUGACGUUACCAACAGAAUAAGCACCGGCUAACUUCGUG
rnacentral:rRNA from 1 species